GCCCUACGGGGUGCAGCAGGCGCGAAAACUUUACAAUGCUGGCAACAGCGAUAAGGGAACCUCGAGUGCCAGGUUACAAAUCUGGCUGUCGAGAUGCCUAAAAAGCAUUUCAUAGCAAGGGCCGGGCAAGACCGGUGCCAGCCGCCGCGGUAACACCGGCGGCUCGAGUGGUAACCGUUAUUAUUGGGUCUAAAGGGUCUGUAGCCGGCCGUAUAAGUCUCUUGAGAAAUCUGGCAGCUUAACUGUCAGGCUUUCAGGAGAUACUGUCUGGCUCGAGGCCGGGAGAGGUGAGAGGUACUUCAGGGGUAGGGGUGAAAUCUUGUAAUCCUUGAAGGACCACCAGUGGCGAAGGCGUCUCACCAGAACGGACCUGACGGCAAGGGACGAAAGCUAGGGGCACGAACCGGAUUAGAUACCCGGGUAGUCCUAGCCGUAAACGAUACUCGCUAGGUGUCGGCCACGGCGCGACCGUUGUCGGUGCCGUAGGGAAGCCGUGAAGCGAGCCACCAGGGAAGUACCGGUCCAAGGGUGAAACUUAAUUCAAACAGGAAACAGCUAUGACCAUGAGUAGACCAAGCUUGGUAACGAAUUCGGAUCCACUAGUAAC
rnacentral:rRNA from 1 species